rnacentral:rRNA from 1 species
AUUGAACGCUGGCGGCAGGCCUAACACAUGCAAGUCGAGCGGAUGAAGGGAGCUUGCUCCUGGAUUCAGCGGCGGACGGGUGGGUAAUGCCUAGGAAUCUGCCUGGUAGUGGGGGAUAACGUCCGGAAACGGGCGCUAAUACCGCAUACGUCCUGAGGGAGAAAGUGGGGGAUCUUCGGACCUCACGCUAUCAGAUGAGCCUAGGUCGAAUUAGCUAGUUGGUGGGGUAAAGGCCUACCAAGGCGACGAUCCGUAACUGGUCUGAGAGGAUGAUCAGUCACACUGGAACUGAGACACGGUCCAGACUCCUACGGGAGGCAGCAGUGGGGAAUAUUGGACAAUGGGCGAAAGCCUGAUCCAGCCAUGCCGCGUGUGUGAAGAAGGUCUUCGGAUUGUAAAGCACUUUAAGUUGGGAGGAAGGGCAGUAAGUUAAUACCUUGCUGUUUUGACGUUACCAACAGAAUAAGCACCGGCUAACUUCGUG